GGAGCGGUGGCUGAGAGGCUUAAGGCACAGGUUUGGAAUAUCUGCGUAGGGCUUAAACCCUGCCGGGGGUUCGAAUCCCUCCCGCUCCGCCA
rnacentral:tRNA from 1 species